ensembl:lncRNA
GGAAAAUAUCUCACUCACAUCUCCUCCGCCAAGAAAGAUCUGAGUCUGUCAUUUCCAGCAGAGGUCUGCAAACUGACGUGAAGAAAAUCCAGUCAAGGCAAGUGAUUGAGUUUGGUGUCCUUUCUCUGACAGCAGACAGUGAGGUAUUUUCUCCCUACGUUUCUGGCAUGAUGCCAUUAGAAUUCCAUUCCAUUUUCUCAACUGCCACUAUUUGGCAUAAAAACUAUUCCGUUUGUCUUCAUUACCUUCUUGCCACUACAUGUGCAUGACUGCAUACAAAUGCAUGCUCAUUUGCGAGUAAAGUCUAGGCACAUGCAUGUGGAAUCUAUACAUGAUUCAAUUUAUCACGUUACUUGGAAAACAAGGAAAAAAAGCAAAGAAAGCUCACAGAAGUAUGCUCGGCCUUGUUGCAGUCUUCAGAACCAACCCCAAACAUAUCCAAAUAAAGCUUUCCAAUGAAAAAGACAUUAGGUGCAAUGAACAGAGCAACAAAUGCAACUGCACAGCACAUGGGGCAGUGACAUUGCUCUUGCACAGGGAGACACUGAUAUUUUGGCAUUUGUUUUCCUCUCAAACUGGAACAAAGUCAAAAUAUUUAAACGUUCCUGGAGGGAAACAUUUCAGUUUAGAAAAGUCUACAUUUCAUCUCAACACGCGGGAUUGACAUCAACAGGAGACUGAUGAAAUGCAUCCCUUUCAUUUAAUGCUACCCAUUGAAUCAAGCCACAUGGAAGAUGUUGCUUUGGGUCUCUCUUUCUGCCAUGAUCUCUGGGGACCCUGUGCUUUGGCAGUGCUCCUUCUCCAACGAUGCGCAGCGUUUUUUGUUUUUCUUUCUUUGUUGCCUCAAAUGGCCUGAGCUCAGACAAUAAGAGUGCGCUGCCAAUACAAUACAGUUCUUUUCUAUGACUUCAUGCUUAUAAUAAUGGGAUGCAGUACUGACUUCUUCCCUAGGUCUGACCAUCUAGACCUUUCUGCUACGAACACCUGCCGUCUCACUGCAGGACCAGAAGGAUUCAGUUGGAAUACAGAUCACUACCACUGCAAUGCCUCAAAGGGUCUUCCUGGGAUCCUCUCCAGACUGGCAGGAGUCCCCCCUAAACCCAGUUUCCAGUCUUCCAGCUCCACAUGGAUUUGCUGUGUGGCACAAAGUAUCUCACAAAUCAGGAAAUGCCUACCUUUUGGAUACUAAAUCCCACUCCUACUGUGCACGGUUAUCAUUUAGGAUAAGAAAACAAGGCCUGUUCUAGACAAGGAGAGACAAAAUUUGAUUUAGAGGUGACAGAAAGCAAUAUUUAACUGCAACUGCACAAAUCUGUUGUGGCCAGUUCCCAUAUUUACCAUGCUUCUACAAAACCAUUUGUCUCUCUAUAGACCCAGAUGGCCAGGGGUUCCGUUUGUCCCAAGGCUUCUGGCAGAGCAAGGCACACAGAUUGUUCUUUCCUUAGCUCCUCUGGAAUUAAUGAACAUUGAUUCAUUUCCAUUUAUUAGGAGAUAAGAUUUAACUUCUUGGCUCAGUAAGGCUUGUUUCCUGUGACACCUGCAGCUUGUUUCAGUUUCUACUUCAGCUCUUCCACCCAUUCUGAUAAACAAAUUAAUCACAUCCUGAAAAAGUGAAAGCAAGUGAUAUUUCACUGCUUAGAUCACUACAUCCAGAUCAGGCCCCAUCUGGGAUUCUGUGAUCUAUAUUUCUGGGACUGGGUCAGCCUGGGGCCAGAUCUGGGCAUCCAGGCUCUUCCAUAGAUCCUUAUAAACACAGCAGAAUGUCAUCUGCAGAACACCCUGACACAACAGAGGUGCUGAAGAAAACUAAGAACACUGAGUAGCUCUCACUUCAGUAAAGCAAAACUGGGAAACGUAACGACUUGCUCAAGUUCUUGGACAAGGAAAAAAAGAUCAUUUCCCCACUGCUGUAAAGAAACAAAACAAGAAAGAAGUCAAUGAAGUGAAAAACGCUAUGGAGACAGGAUGAGACCGCUAUGGAAAUUUCUCCUGAUACUUCAGUUGAACUGAAUCCUUUUUAAUUAAAUUUCACUGUAAGAUCUAAUCUGGCACUCAAAGGAACAAGUCAGUUGGUACAAUUGGUCACAGAUAAGGUUCCCUGCCUGUGAUCCAGCAUCACUGAAGGAUCAUUGAAUUGUAGUAGAAGUAGAUACAAAAGGGACCUCGAGACGUCGUCUGAUCUCCCCCUGACUUAAAUUAAGAAUGACACUACCUCAACUGUCCCUAACACAUUUAUUUAAGUACUUUUUAUUCCGAACAUCCAAAAUAUUACUUUGCCCCUAGGCAGCAGAGGAUAAAGUUCCACCCACUGAGAAUCUCCCAGCCAGUAUCACACAGAGAAAAGUGGAGAUAAGGGUAAAGAAAGAAUACCCACUAGUCCCCAACGUGCUCAGUCCUAACAAUAAGAGUCUGAUCCCUCAAACACAAUAUAUGACUUUAUUCUUUUCACAGUCCUUCACACUGAGAAAUAGACCAGAAGAAGACAAUGCCAAAGACAUCUCUGUGAGAAAUGUUUCAGUUCAAAGAUCUCAUACUGAAAGAUAGAAAUUCAUUGUCUGUGACUACACCAAUACUGAAGAGCAAGGAUCCUUGAUUUGGAAAAUUUACUACGAAAAGAAAUUUGAUUCAACACUCGCUUCUGCUGAAAUAGCACUAAGAAAUGAGUUUUAAUAGAGAAGAUGGAUAAUGUUCCAAAACUGAAAUUGCCCAAAACCCUUUAAAAAACUAACAAACAAACAACAAAAAAUGUGUUCCAAAGAUUGAUGUAUUUCCUUCCUUCCUUCCUUCCUUCCUUCCUUCCUUCCUUCCUUCCUUCCUUCCUUCCUUCCUUCCUUCCUUCCUUCCUUCCUUCC